rnacentral:lncRNA from 10 species
UGGACCUCUUUGAGGCCUUCAUUGGAAACGGGAUUUCUUCAUAUACUGCUAGACAGAAUAAAUCUUAAUAACUUCCUUGUGUUGUGUGUAUUCAACUCAUAGAGUUGAAACUUCCUUUAGACAGAGCAGAUGUGAAAUACUCUUUUUGUGAUAUUUGCACUUGGAGAUUUCAAGCGCUUAUAGGCCAAAAGUAGAAAAGGAAAUAUCUUCGUAUAAAAAGUAGACAGAAUCAUUCUCAGAAACUACUUUGUGAUGUGUGCAUUCAAUUCACAGAGUUUAACCUUUCUUUUGAUUGAGCAGUUUGGAAACACUCUCUUUGUAAAGUUUGCCAGUGGAUAUUUGGACACCUUUGAGGCCUUCGUUGGAAACGGGAUUUCUUCAUAUAAUGUUAGACAGAAGAAUUCUCAGAAACUUAUUUGUGUUAUAUUUAUUCAACUAGCAGAAUUGAAACUUCCUUUUGACAGAGCAGAUUUGAUA